rnacentral:rRNA from 1 species
GGCUACGUAGUCUUGCUGGACGCGCUUCGGCGCACCCAGAAACCCUUUGUGAACUUAUACCUAUUUGUUGCCUCGGCGCAGGCCGGCCUCUUCACUGAGGCCCCCUGGAAACAGGGAGCAGCCCGCCGGCGGCCAACUAAACUCUUGUUUCUAUAGUGAAUCUCUGAGUGAAAACAUAAAUGAAUCAAAACUUUCAACAACGGAUCUCUUGGUUCUGGCAUCGAUGAAGAACGCAGCGAAAUGCGAUAAGUAAUGUGAAUUGCAGAAUUCAGUGAAUCAUCGAAUCUUUGAACGCACAUUGCGCCCUCUGGUAUUCCGGAGGGCAUGCCUGUUCGAGCGUCAUUUCAACCCUCAAGCCUGGCUUGGUGAUGGGGCACUGCCUUCUAGCGAGGGCAGGCCCUGAAAUCUAGUGGCGAGCUCGCUAGGACCCCGAGCGUAGUAGUUAUAUCUCGUUCUGGAAGGCCCUGGCGGUGCCCUGCCGUUAAACCCCCAACUUCUGAAAAUUUGACCUCGGAUCAGGUAGGAAUACCCGCUGAACUUAAGCAUAUCAAUAAGCGGAGG